AUUAUUUUGGCAGAGUCAAUGCGUAGAAUUUAGGUUUCUAUAAUUUUUAUGUUUUUAAACGUAUUAAAAUAAUA
rnacentral:tRNA from 1 species